rnacentral:rRNA from 1 species
GACGGACGCUGGCGGCGUGCUUAACACAUGCAAGUCGAACGGAAAGGCCCUGCUUUUGUGGGGUGCUCGAGUGGCGAACGGGUGAGUAACACGUGAGUAACCUGCCCUUGACUUUGGGAUAACUUCAGGAAACUGGGGCUAAUACCGGAUAGGAGCUCCUGCUGCAUGGUGGGGGUUGGAAAGUUUCGGCGGUUGGGGAUGGACUCGCGGCUUAUCAGCUUGUUGGUGGGGUAGUGGCUUACCAAGGCUUUGACGGGUAGCCGGCCUGAGAGGGUGACCGGCCACAUUGGGACUGAGAUACGGCCCAGACUCCUACGGGAGGCAGCAGUGGGGAAUAUUGCACAAUGGGCGGAAGCCUGAUGCAGCAACGCCGCGUGCGGGAUGACGGCCUUCGGGUUGUAAACCGCUUUCGCCUGUGACGAAGCGUGAGUGACGGGAAUGGGUAAAGAAGCACCGGCUAACUACGU